rnacentral:rRNA from 1 species
AACGAACGCUGGCGGCGUGCCUAACACAUGCAAGUCUAACGAGAAAGUCCUCUUCGGAGGGCGAGUAAAGUGGCGAACGGGUGAGUAACACGUGGGCAAUCUGCCCUCGGGACCGGGAUAACUCUGCGAAAGCGGGGCUAAUACCGGAUAAGACCACACUGUCUACGGGCAGAGUGGGAAAAGGUGGCCUCUCCAUGGAAGCUAUCACCUGAGAAUGGGCCCGCGGCCUAUUAGCUUGUUGGUGAGGUAACGGCUCACCAAGGCGACGAUGGGUAUCCGGCUUGAGAGGGUGAACGGACACACUGGCACUGAGACACGGGCCAGACUCCUACGGGAGGCAGCAGUGGGGAAUUUUGCGCAAUGGGGAAACCCUGACGCAGCAACGCCGCGUGAGUGAUGAAGGCCUUCGGGUUGUAAAACUCUUUUAGUGGGGAAGAAACACCUUGGGGCUAAUAUCCCCAGGGCUUGACGGUACCCACAGAAAAAGUUCCGGCUAACUACGUG